UACGUAGGGGGCAAGCGUUGUCCGGAUUUAUUGGGCGUAAAGAGCGUGUAGGCGGCCAAGUAGGUCCGGUGUGAAAACUCGAGGCUUAACCUCGAGAUGUCAUCGGAAACCAUCUGGCUAGAGUCCGGAAGAGGAGAAUGGAAUUCCCGGUGUAGCGGUGAAAUGCGCAGAUAUCGGGAAGAACACCCGUGGCGAAGGCGGUUCUCUGGGACGGUACUGACGCUGAGACGCGAAAGCGUGGGGAGCGAACAGG
rnacentral:rRNA from 1 species